AGGGGUGUAACUCUAACGGCUAGAGUGCCGGUCUCCAAAACCGGAAGUUGGGGGUUCGAAUCCCUCCACCCCUGCCA
rnacentral:tRNA from 1 species